rnacentral:misc_RNA from 1 species
AACGCACGAGACCUGCGGACCUGCGGAGGGAUCAUCUUUGAAUUUGAUCACCAAAUUUCCAGGGGGUCUGUGACCCAAUUUUGGGUUCAGGCUUUCUUAAUUAAAAUUCUGGGAAUUUGUACUUUUCUUUUGACGAGUACAUUUACCCGAAAAAUUUUAAAAAAUUAAUUACACAACUUUUAACAACGGAUCUCU